AGCUCCGCAGGAGAUGCUCAAACACAGUUCUGGCUCCGUCUCUGUGGGGUCUCUGGGUCCUGGUGCACACAAGGUUUGUUUGAGCCUUCCGAGGAUCUCUGGCGGGAUGGGGUUUGAUUCUAAAUGCACAUUUGCCCCUCCUACCGUCUUGCUGGGGCUUCUCCUUUGCCCUUGGAAGUGGGGUAUCUUUUUUUGGUGGGAUCCAGCCUUCUGCUGUGGACGGUUGUGCGGCAGCGAGCUGUAAUUUUGGAGUUCUCGCAGGAGACGAUGAGCGCACGUCCUUCUGCUCCGCCAUCUUGGGGAAGGAAGAUGGCGAGUUCUGAGAAAGCACUGGAGAAGGGAGAGGCGCCCACUCCAGCAUUCUUGCCUUGAGAACCCGAGGAACAGCAUGAAAGGCCGUAACACAGCGGUGCUGUUGUUUUAGUUGCUGGUUGCGUCCGAUUCCCGUGUCCAUCUCUCCAUGUGGACUGAGGCCCGCCAGGCUCCUCUGUCCAUGGGCUUCUCCAGGCAAGAACACUGGCGUGGGUGCCAUUCCCUUCCCCAGGGGAGCUUCCCGGCCGAGACUGAGCCUGCAUUUCCUGCACUUGAGGGCCACGCUUGACCGCCGAGCCUCUCGGGAAGCCCUGAAGCAACACGCGCACUGCUGAAAGCCGGCAGUCUGCAGCCCCGCGGAGCGGGAGCCGUCGGGCUCAGGAGAGACUUGAGGAGGGCAGAGCUAGGACCUGCGCUGCUGACACACAGGGAGCACCAUCCCCGAUGCACACAGCCUGUAACAAACAUGUUACGUGCUUCUUGGCCCUUCAGCCGCAGCCCCAGGGGAAGGUCCCGACAGGGUGCUUCCUGCAAAGGCUAAACGUGGUGCCUUCUUUUAUCUCUGUUAGCCUCGUAGAAACCCCGCCUCUGUCGUUACUUGGAUUAAUGUUUAGCAAUAUUUGCUACGUCCCGUGGAACCUCCAUGAGCCGCAGAGAGGCACAUUCGACUUCUCCAGGAACUUGGACCUGGAGGCCUUCAUCCUACUGGCGGAGGAGGUGGGGCUGUGGGUGAUCCUGCGUCCAGGCCCCUACAUCUGCAGCGAGAUGGACCUCGGGGGCCUGCCCAGCUGGUUACUGCAGGACCCCACGUCGCAGCUGAGGACCACCAACCGCAGCUUUGUGAACGCCGUGAACAAGUACUUCGACCAUCUGAUCCCUAGGGUGGCUCCGCUCCAGUACCACAGGGGAGGCCCCAUCAUCGCGGUGCAGGUGGAGAACGAGUAUGGCUCCUUCUACAAGGACAUGGCCUACAUGCCCUACCUGCUGCAGGCCCUGCUGCAGAGGGGCAUUGGAGGGCUGCUCCUGACCGCAGACAGCACAGAGGAAGUGACGAGAGGACACACAAAGGGAGUGCUGGCCACCAUCAACAUGAAGGGGUUCAAGGUGGACUCGUUCAAGCAUCUGUACAAGCUGCAGAGCCACAAGCCCAUUUUGAUCAUGGAAUUCUGGGUCGGCUGGUUUGAUACGUGGGGAAGCGAUCACAAGGUGAUGGGUGUGAAUGAGGUUGAAAAGAGUGUGUCUGAAUUUAUCCGAUUUGGGAUCUCCUUCAAUGUGUACAUGUUCCACGGGGGGACCAACUUUGGUUUCAUGAACGGGGCCACGAGUUUUGAGAAGCACAGAGGUGUUACCACGAGCUACGACUACGACGCGGUGCUGACAGAGGCUGGGGACUACACCACCAAGUACUUCGCGCUCCGGAACCUCUUUGAAUCCAUCCUGGUCAGGCCCCUGCCCCCUCUUCCGAGUCCCACUCCCAAGACGGUGUACCCCUCCUUGAAGCUAUCUCACUACCUGCCACUGUGGGAGGCCCUGCCUUACCUGCAGAGGCCGGUCACCUCUAAUGUUCCACUCAACAUGGAGAACCUGCCCAUCAACAACGGCAAUGGCCAGUCCUUCGGGUUCGUGCUUUAUGAGAUGACCGUCUGCUCCGGGGGCCGGCUCUAUGCCAACGCGCAGGACGAGGCUCAGGUAUUUUUGAAUGAGACAAGUUUAGGGAUUCUGACUGAUGUUUAUCGGGACAUAGACAUUCCUCCAAUCACGGAAUGUCAGCUUCUAAGGAUCCUGGUGGAGAAUCAAGGACGAGUCAGUUUUUCAUGGAAAAUUCAAAAUCAGCGGAAAGGAUUGAUUGGACCUGUUACUCUGGAUAAAAUUCCCCUGAGCAGGUUCACCAUCUAUUCUCUGGAGCUGAAAAUGACAUUCUUCAAGAAGCUCCGCUCUGCACCCUGGAGGCCUCUCAGGGGCCCCUCCUCGAGCCCUGCCUUCCACCUGGGCACGCUGAUGGCUGGCUCUUCCCCGCAGGAUACCUUCCUCCAGCUGCCCGGCUGGAAGCACGGGUGUGUGUUCAUCAAUGGCCAUAACCUUGGGCGGUACUGGAAUAUUGGGCCUCAGGAAGCGCUUUAUCUGCCUGGCUCCUGGCUCCAGCCUGGCACCAAUGAGAUUGUCCUGUUCGAGAAGGAGAAGAGCAGCUCAGAUAUCUACAGCACAGACAUCCGCAGGUGGGUGGUACCGGGUCCAGACAGCCUUCUUCACUGACCGAGUCCAUCCCCAGGUGCACUUUCAGGCCGAAGAUUAUAUCCAUAAUAUCACACAGCAUUGCCUACAGUAGCAGGAGGAGAAAGUGAGACUGCCUUCUACUCCACUGUUGGGAAUGGCUGGCUCGACGAAGGAGAAUUCUACCAUGAACCACACAACUCCUACAAAGGACCUUGUUAUUGUCUGGGGCUUUAGACUCAAAUCCAUGGGGUCUGUGGAGAAAAGCAGAAAUCAGAACCAUCAGAUCACAAGAAAGUAUUAAACCUCAGAUAUGAUGUAUACAUCUUUUCUAAACAUGAGAACUAUGCCCAGAUGGAAAAACUAAGGCUCAAGGAGAUGUGUCUUUUUUUGAUGACUAUUGUGUUUUUGAUUUACUCUUCUUUUGCUUUCCUAUCUCUGCUCUAAUUAUUUUCUAUGCUUUUAAAUUGUGUAUCUAAAUGAGGUGAUGUGGGUUUACUAAAUUUACUAUGAUCAUCGUUUAGUGACGUAUGUAAGUCAGAUCAUUAUGGCACACACCUUGAAUGUAUUGCCAUGCUGAUGUCAAUUCUGUGUCAAUAAAGCCAGGAGGA